CUAACCAGUUGUUGCUCCAUUUCACUCUUAGGUGAGCAUCUUCCUUCUGGUUUUACUUUGAUCUCUGCUUCUUCAACAGUUUGUGUCGUUCACUCAAACUCAGCUUCCUUUCAUUGGUGACUGAGAUUCUUCUCUACUUCAGCCCCACUCUUCUUUGACUCCAUUGAUGUGGUGCCUCCCUUUCUCUUUUGCUUCAGCUUCUUCUGCUGCAAGAAUUGUACCAAUCUCAAUGUUGCUUGCGGAAGUGCAUUGCCUUCUGUACUCGAGCAGAGGCAGAGUCUUGUUCUUUAUGUUGUCUUGGUUGUUUGUGCAUAACUCGCUCAACCAGCUAGAAGGUCGCAUAAGAAAGUUACCUCCACGAUUUGUAAUGACUGCCGCAUGUUGAUUGAGUACCCUGCAGAAAAAAAAAAAAAAUAUACAACUUUAACUUUCUGGUCGGAUGUAGAAAUCUGAAACGUUUUAGGAACUAAUACUUGUGUUGUCUAUGAUUGAAUGACCUUGAAGGAACGGUUUUAGAGUU